rnacentral:rRNA from 1 species
UACAGAGGGGGCAAGCGUUAUUCGGAAUUAUUGGGCGUAAAGAGCUCGUAGGCGGCUUGUUGCGUCGUCCGUGAAAACCUGUGGCUCAACUACAGGCUUGCGGUCGAUACGGGCGGGCUGGAGUUCGGUAGGGGAGACUGGAAUUCCUGGUGUAGCGGUGAAAUGCGCAGAUAUCAGGAGGAACACCGGUGGCGAAGGCGGGUCUCUGGGCCGUAACUGACGCUGAGGAGCGAAAGCGUGGGGAGCGAACAGG